GUCACAUGAAAUGACACAGAACCUCCUUGAGUUCCCGUCAGAGAAACCGGGUUUCCAGAAUCCUCCACUUGAGACCCAUGAGUUCCAGAACCGUUGACCACAGUGCUGAAGGCGCCUAGGGCAUUGGAAACAGACACGUGUCCUCGCCGCCUAACUCUGAGAGUCUGGACGAGACGACAUCACGGAUCGAGAGCCCCGAGCACAUCUGGGCCGAUGCCAAGUGCCCAGCGUAGGAGGCAGCUUCCACCGUGGCUGCCCACACGCUGUGGGAGCCCGGGCCCUGGAGUGGGGGCCGUGCCCUGUGACUUGCUCUGGAGCGGAGUGGCUCAAGGUCAGGCUCAGGGAGGCUGUGCUACGGUAACACGCACUCCAGUCGCUCAGGGGCUGAGACAAGGGGAGAUUCUGAGACUGAGGGGGGUCCUGUCACACAAGGUAGAGGCAUCACGCCCUGGUGGCUGCCGCCCCGGGGCCACAGCAGGGAAGGCACACAGGGGAAUCGCCCGUGGGGGCUUCUCUCCCUCCAGAAGCGGCGUGACCUCUGCUCAUGGGUUUGGCCACCUAGUCACAGGGCCCUGGCUCCCUACCCAGAACUUGAAAAUGUGGGAGAAGAUAUGAUGGGUAGGUGAGCUCUGCUGUGCCUGCCACGAAGACCACGCUUCCCCAGACGGUCCCCGAGACACCCUCAAUGUCCUUCCUCAGUCACCUCUUGCAGAGCCGUGACCAGAAGGCAAGGGCCUCCGGGCCGCCCCUCCGGACCCCAAAAUGCCCCAUGCGGCGCAGCCCAGGGGACCUGAUACCCUGGGUCCUUCUGGAGACCGGGAUAGGAAAGAAGGGGAUGGGCAAAGAAUGACCUUGUCCUGAAAGGAAGCCCAUGUGUCCCCUGCAGCAGGGCAGGACCGCCUGGGGGACCGCUGCCUGCCAGGGCCCCAGACACCUCUCCAGGUCCGUGAGCUGUCCUCACGCGGGGCCUGCACCCUCACUGUGUUCACAUCGUUCCUGGCUCUCCCAGGAAGCAGAGAACCCAGAGAAGGGCUCAGGCCAGUAUUGCUUGUAGAAGAUUCCAGAUCCUUCUAUGCAAUGAUGCCCUCACUAACUCCCUCAUUCCGACAGCAGGCGGCUGCAUCCCGCCUGACGCUGCCCGGCCCGGACGGCAGGUCCCUGUCCCCACGUGCCAGCUGCUGUGUCCCAUUGCGGUUUGGAUCUGCUUGUGUCCUUGGCAUGUUGUGUCCCAUUACUUUAGAGGAGCCGCCGCACCUGUCGUAAGAGAAUCAGCCUGUUUUCUAACACAGAUAACGUAAUUCUU